CUCCUCAGGGGUGAAGUCAUUCUUGAUGUUGAAGGUCUUGCGGAUCUCCUCAGGAGUCUUACCCUUUAUCAUGUCAGCAACAGUUUGGCAGGUAAGGUCCAGCAAUCCCUUAAUGUUGAGAUAGUUUGCAGCCUGGGUGGAUUAGCAAACAAAAGAAGGGUGUAAGAAAUAAUAGUUACAAUGGCUAGGGCACAUAUGGAUAUACACAUCCACAAAAAGAGUUGGGACAUCUAAACCUGUUUGUGGCACAUCAUAAAUGCAAAGAAAUCACUACAAUUUUUUUUUUCACAACUCAGCCUUCAGGAUCCAUAAAGAAACAAGUGAAUUUGUGUGGACUGUAAGUAAAAAUGUGAAAUGCAAGACAACAAUGAUUCUGUUGAAAACAGUGUGACUACGAAACAAAUUUUAGCAACAGCAGCCAGCAACAACUACAAAAACAUUUGUCACGGCCUGAAUAUGUCCAGAAACAACACAAAAUAUAUGUUGAUGAGAUGGUAUAACAAGGUUAAGCAGAACGGUUAUCUACAAAACGUUCAGGAAAGGUAUAUGCCAUCUUAAUCCAUUGAACUUGAAGGACACUUCACAAGAACAACAAGAUGUAACAGAAAGAUUUGGACUGAAAUGCUACAUUUAGGAAUAACAUAAAUCUGGUUGCAUGUCACCACCACACUAACACAAUGUUGGUGAUAGAAGGAUUAAAAGCAUGACGUCCCCAACUUCACAUGCAUGAAAUCAGUUAUCAGAAUAAUCACAGGAUAAAGGUUGUGUCUUGAACAGUCAAUUUAGAAGAUAUUAACACAUUGAACUAUCACAAUAUAGCAGCACCAAAAUUUGUUCAGAACAGGUAGUGUUUUAAAUGGUUCAAUAUAUAGCAACUAAUGGAACAACAGAGUUAGAACAAUGACCAAUACUAAUUUACAACCAAGCACAGAAAGAACACAUUGAAUUAUCACUCGAUAGCAAACCAAAUUGUUUUGUUGCGACAUCCAUUCAAAGAGGUAAAUACAUUCAAGCCAAUUCUAAUCUAGCAAUCUAAUAAACUGGAACGGAUCACCGGGCUGCAACCAUACGAAGCAGCCAGCCACAGCUUUGACACGGCACAGCGUAAGACUAUCUACCUAACAUACAGAAAUCCAGAUCUGAAUCUCAAUGAUGAAUUGCGACCAAUUGCAGAUCUAAAUUUAGACAUAAAGCAGGGGAGUGGACGGAGGGGGGAUUACCAGGAUGAGGUCGAAGAGGGUGGCCUGGUCGACCUUCACAAAGUCGGCGUCCCAGUUCUUGAGGUCCUCGCCGGGGGCGGCGGUGGUGGAGGAGUUGUUGGCGGCGGCCGGGUUGGCGUCGCCGUCGGAGGGGUUGGCGGCCUUGGCGGCGGCGGUCGCGUGGACGUGCUUGUUGCAGUACUCGAUGACCUUGGAGAGGAUCUUGGAGUUGACGUUGGGGAGCGGGAUGCCGUUGUCGGCGCAGUCGUCCUCGAUCAUGUGGCGGAUGGUCUGCGACUCCAUCGCGACCGUCUCCUCCACCUCGAACUCCUCGCCGUCGGAGCUCUUCAGGGUGAUCAUCUUCUUCUCACCCUCUGCCGCCAUCGCCGCCAUCGCCACUGCUUGCUUUUUCCGAUCGGUCGCGGUGGACGAAACCCUAGCUUUGCUCGUGAGCUGGGGAGAAAGGGGAACAGAUUGAUUGAUUAGGGAUUUGGGGCAGAGGCGGGUGGGGAUAUUAUAUAAGGAAAAUCGUGCGCACGUAAGCCUUCUCGGCCAUCCGAUGCACAGAUCUUGCAUCUAGCGCAUAGACGGUUAGCAUUACCCCUCCGUUUGUUUUUAUAAAAUAUAUUUUUUUCUUCAGUUAAAUGUUUUAAAUUUGACAAAAUCUAUACCUAUCUAAAAAAAUACGUACCGAUCACUUCACCAAAAAAUUUCGUCGUUCGUCAAGCACUCUUCGCCGCACCCCUUCGUUAACCCGCACGCAUGCACUAGAAAAAAAAAGGGUAGCUGCAAACCUUCUUCCGUCGCCGGCCUUCUGCUGCCACGAUUCCUCUGCCGCACGAACCAUCCGUUGCCGCGAGCCCUCCGCCGUCACGAUCCCACCGUUCGCCUUGUUCUUCGGCCAUCGCCAGCACCUGCCGUCGACCGAUGUGCGCCUGCCGUCGAGCCCCUCUGCUGCGCCGCCACCGCCCCGACGAGUCUUGGCCUAGAACGAGUAUCACAUGCGCGCGGGUGAAGUGCUUCCCAGGGUUUGUUUUAUCCCCUUGUGAGGCUGACGGAGGAAUUGAUCUCUUCAUCCCACCCCGAUCUGAUUUGAGACGAACCCUCACAUUCCCUUGAUCGAUCCUUCAUCCUUUGUGUGUGUUUGCAUAUGUUUGAUUAGGUGUAGUUUGAUUUGAGGCGAAGCAAAUAGGUCCCUUGUUCCAAGGGUCAAAUUGUUGGUCAGAUCAUCGCAAUUCAGUGAUAUUUAUUUCCCUAUGCAUGUUGUAUAUUCGAAAUCCAUUGAUAUAUUUGAAGCCAAUCCAGUGAUAUGUUUGGAGCCAAUCCAGUAAUAAGCCAACAACUAGCAGUGUGCCUCUGAUCCUAUGAAGAUCCUUGGAGACACCAUGGAACAUCGAAUCCACAUAUUAGUGAGGCUCUUCCUGAUGCAUUUUGUGGUAAGAUUUAGAGCCAUAUUCUGAUAUCGUGUUUGCUGAGUAGAACAUUUGCUAAGAUUUUGUGGUAAGAUUUAAUCUCCAGUCCGUAAUGUCUUCAGUAAUUUGUUAAGAACAUUUGCUAAUUGCCUAAUUGUUCAUUAUCUUUAAGGAGUUAUAAGGGACAUGGAGCUUAUCAUCACUACAACACAAAUGUCUUGUAGAGACAUUUUCAUUGAGGCAAUAUACUCUUUGUCUCUACCUAGAGACAAUUUAGAGACAGAGUUUCAUGUAGAGGCAGUCUAUGAGGCGUUAUGGAUAAUGUCUUAAAUAUAUAGACACUAGUUGAGACAUUAUGGUGUAGAGACAUUUUUUAACGCAUUUAAUAGAUUGUCACAAGACUCAUGUAGAGACAUGGUUUUGAGAUACUUGAUGAAUUGACCUUACGGUAUGAUUAGAGACACUAUUUAAGACACAUUUUAUGUUGUGUAGAGACAUUCUUAACAAGUUUGAGACAUAUAGCAGAAUACUCAUAAUAAUUUCAUUAGAAGUAUAAGCAAGAAUUGAUAUCAGGUUGAGAUGGGUUAGGUGAGUGUGUAGUUUUCCUUAAGGUCUUGAGUUUGAGGAUUGAUUUCAACAUGAUUUUUUCAAUGUAUAUUUUCUAGCACAUGAGUAUAGAUACACAAUUUAAUUUCUUUACAAAAUGUCACAUUGAACGUAGAGACAAUAUAGUGUCUCUAUGAAAUGUCUAAAAAGUAUAGAGACACAACGCAAUGUCUUUACGAAUUGUCGUAUUGAACGUAGAAACGGUAUAGUGUCUCUAUGCAAUGUCUAAAACAAUAGAGACGUUUUAUUAGUGUCUCAUCAUGAUAUGGACAUGCUAACCAUGGAUAUGACCUUUGGUACCCUCAAUUCUAUAAUAGUUGACAAGAUUUAUAAUCAGGUGAAUUCAAUUAGUAAUUGGUUUCAUUGUCAUAUUUAUAAACAGGCGGAGCUACUACUAUCUUGUCUCGUUUUAUUACGUAGGCAUUUUGUCGAGCUUUUCAAGUCCAAGGUCAAGAUGAGAUACGAUGGAGGCGAACGUGAGGGCCAACAAGAAUCAAGCAUUCAUACAGCUGAGAGGGAAGGAUUUCAAGUGUACUUUCCAACAAAUCAAACGGCACAUGAUUCGGAGCUUGCUAGAGAAAGAUAUCACGAAUUAAAGUUGAAUCCGAUUCGGGUCCGAGCUGUCAGGAGACCCGAAUUUGUUUUAAUCAACCAGGCCGCAUCCGAAGUCCAAAUCAAGCAAACAAGUACUUGUUGGAAAGGUAAUUACAAGAACUUUCCAAAGGAUCUGGCCCCACAAGGAGAUUCGACGCGUGCUGACCGUGGCGGACAAAACAAGCUGACAGAUCUGUUUUUCUGUUUCCUAAAGAGUUGUAGUUUGUUAGGAAAGUUAGAGAUAGAGUUGGAUUUCGGCCUCCUUACUCAAGGUGGACGAAAAUCUCUCUCCCUCCUCCUUUAUAUACCCCAUGAGCCCCUCCUAUGGAGACUUGGGUUUUGUUUAGUUAAAAGUUAGCCAUCGCUACUACUUCGUGUAAUCGCGUGUGUCGGUUAGACCACCUGUUUUACCGCUUUCGGAACCUCAACUUAUCGUCUCGUUGAGACAUUGGUUUGAUAUAGUAUAUUCGCAAUUUUAGAUUGCAUCCGCUAUUUAUCUUGUUCUUAUUUGUUCUUCGAUUGCUUGCAGGAACAAAAACAUUCGUGGUCAGGUUGAUCGUGCCCCCGCACGAUCAAUAACCCUCUGGAGUUGGUGUAUCGAUUGCUAAGGCGCUGCCUCCUAGGCCGUAGUCGGAUCGUCAACGUCACCUCCUACCCAAAUCGAGAGUUACCAAUCUCAUCGAAAAAUCGGGCCACCCCGCGCCCACAUCACGUGGUAUCAGAGCUUAAGGUUGCUCGGUGAGAUUUUUCCAAUUUAUCCCUAGUUUAGAUCUGUUUUUACCUAUCGUCCAGAAAAAAACCAAACAAAAAUUAGAAUUAGUUACCUUGUUCUAGAACCAAUCUGAGUCUUGCAAUUUUCACAUUAGUAUUUGCAUUGUUAAAUCUUUGCUGCAUUAAUUGUGUCGAGUAGCUGGAUUAGAUUGGAUCGUUUUUCAGAUUUUUUUUCUACUAGAUCGAACUUGCUUUUGGUUUUCUUAUUUUUCGUGUGACGCAGGUUUCCUUCAUCAAUUUUCCGCGGCCAAACUCCCUGCCACACCACCACCACGCCAUAAUCUUCCGCUACCACCAUAUCUUCCAUCGAGUCCUACAUCGAGUCCUUCUCCGAGUUCGAGUCCGAGUCCAAUCGAGAGUGCUUUUGGAAAGUGUUUCAUAAUAGAUUGAUUUUUGUUUAGAGAUCAAGUUGUUCGGAAAGUUUUGAAAAAAAAGAAAGGAAAGAAAAAAAAAGGAAAGAAAGAAAGAAAAAACGAAAAAAGAGAGAGAGAAAGAAUCAGUUUCGGAUCCACGUUGAGAAAAUUUUAGUUUCGGGUGGGUUUGACCCGUGUUCAGUAAAACGAGCGUAUCUUCUGCAUACCAACUCAAAUUUGGAUGUUCUUGGACUUUUUGGAAAGCUCACCACGAGGCGCAUCAGGAAAUAUCCAGAGAGCCAGCCUGCACUUUCACCCUCAAAUUUGGCUUCUAAAGUGGACUUUCGGAGGUUCCAAGUUGCUGCAUCCGUUUUCCGGCGUCGCUGUAGCCCGAUGUUUUUCAGUUUUCUCCACCGUCACAUCCGUUUUGAGUGAUAUUUCCCUUCCUGGAAAGCUUGUGUCGAUACGCUUCUAACCCAUAUUUUUCCAUAUUUUUCUGAAUUUUUCUUACUGCAGCCUUUGCUAUUUUUCGACAGACCGACGUACAGUUUUCCGGGCCUUCUUUUGCGUGAGUUUCUGGGGUUAAAAAAAAAGAAAAAGAAGAAGAAGAAGCCAAACAGAAGGCCACAAAAAGAAAAAAAAAUCCCAGGGAUUUACUUGUUGUGCCAUCUUUCUAUCCUACCUUCUUCAGUAUCUAGGCUUAGAUUAUUUCUGUAAUUCGUUCUUAUCGACUCCAGCAGCUAGGACUAGCAUUAUUGAGCAUAUUUUCAACUUUGCAUUGCUGAUUUGAUUAUUUGCUAUUCCUUGCUACUCACAAAAGCCUCCAAGCUACACAGAUUCUACACCUAGGUUGGUUUGUUACCGAGGCAUCGAUACAUUCAAUCUUCGGAGGGCUUGGUUACGCCGCUGGCCAUCACCUUCCUGUUUUGCAUGGUAAGAACUUGAUUUUUAGCUUGAGAGUUGAGCGACUUGUAGCCACAUCCUGGUAGUUGAUAGGAACAUAUUACUGUGAUUUGUUUCUUGUUUUCUACUAACGAUGACAGAACUUACACGAAGCAUGGCAACUAGACCGAUGCUAUCCCGUGACCGCGAUGAGUGCUUUUCACCACGGCCAUCCUCCACGUCUCUUGUUGACAAUGCCACGGCAACGGUACAAAACAAUCCUUCUAAUACAAUUAAAUUGUGUGUACCUUUCUUUGAGGGGAAAAAUGAUGCUGAAAUGUAUAUAGAUUGGGAGCUACCUUUAACUGAACAAUUCGCAUGCUUUCAUUUACUUGAUAGUCGCAAGGUUCAAAUUGCUAGUAGUAAAUUUAAUUUUGCUGCUUUAUCUUGAUGGAAUGAGAUAGUUAGAGAAAAGAAAAUUUCCCACACUUGGGUUGAUAUGAAGAAAAUCAUGAGAGAAAAAUAUGUCCCUUUUAGUUAUGCUUUUAACUUGCGUUCAAAAUUACGACGUUUGACACAAGAUGAUAAAAUGUUGAUGAUUACUACAAUGAGUUCCAAAUUAUAACCUUGCGAUCUGGUUUAGAUGAAACCGAACAAAGAAAAAUGGAUAGGUUUUAUUAUGGGCUUAACUUUGAUAUUUCUUACAUGAUUGAAUAUGAAAAAUACGACGCUCUUUUGUGUUUGCUUAAUCUUGCUCGUAAAGUUGAGAGGAAAUUACAGCGAGGGUCUACUACAAAUGAGUCGAGCCCACAAGGUAAUGAUACAGAGGAUUGUGUUGCUGAACUAAAAAGGGCAUGUGAUGAAAUAAAUGUGAUACCUGUUGAAUUUUCUGCACCAUCUGAAAUUAUUGUCGUACAUGGUGAUUCAAGUGCACCUACUGCUGAAAUUAAUUCUUCUAAUGAUUUGAGUGCACAAAUUAAUUUUGAUAUUGAUGAGAACGAAUCAUGUGAGAAAAUAACUAAUGUUUUGGGAGAAACAAGUGAGAUAGAUAAAUUUGAUUUAGGUUGUGUCGAGUUGAUUAGACAUGAAGUGAUUGAUAAGGAUCCACCUAUUAAUUCUUUGUGUUAUAUUACACUUGAUACACCUAUAUAUUUGUCACAUGCAAUGGAUAAAGUUUCUGAGUUAAGAAUUUCAAAAUCUUUUGCUAAUGCCCAUGGAUACACUAUUCAAUUAAUUGAAGAACAUGAUGUCAACAAUAAAUUUUGGGUGCAUCAGAUUUGCAUUGCUUGUGAUAACUUUCUUGAUUUGAGAGACAACACUAUUUUGCAUAUGCUCAAUCAUUUUGAUAUGACCUCUAAUAUUGGUGACAGUUGUAUGACAAAUAACUUGUGGCAUGAUUGCACAUUGACGCAUAUUGUAGCUCGCCAUUUGGGAAUUUUGAAUUAUUGUUCACGUACAUUAGGAUGGUUUAAUAAUGAAAAUUACAAAUUAAAAUGUGAUACUUGCCGUUGGAAUAUGACUAUUAAUCUUUUGCACUAUUAUGAGUUUUAUUUAUGUGAAACAUCGAAUGUGCAGCAUGGGAGUGGAGUUAAAAUUGAUGACAUAUACAUAUACCAUGCACACACUUUGUCUAUUUUGUCAGUCUCUUUUCAGCACAAACGACGCCGAGGACGGUUUUUCUUUCAAGAAAGGGAGGAUGACAUGGACAUGCUAACCAUGGAUACGACCUUUGGUAUCCUCAAUUCUAUAAUAUUUGACAAGAUUUAUAAUCAGGUGAAUUCAAGUAGUAAUUGGUUUCAUUGUCAUAUUU
rnacentral:lncRNA from 1 species